rnacentral:rRNA from 1 species
UAGACUGUCUCCUUUUUCAAAUCAGUGAAAUUAAUCUCCCCGUGAAGAAGCGGGGAUGCUCUUAUAAGACGAGAAGACCCCAUGGAGCUUCAAACCCAACUACACCCCUAACUCUUAUAGCCUCACAACCCCCCUAGGCGCCGUGUGCUUGGUUUUAGGUUGGGGCGACCGCGGAGUACAAUAAAACCUCCACAAUGAAUGGGACCACCCCCUUAUCUGAGGGCCACACCCCUAAGAAUUAGAACACUAACAUAAAAUGAUCCAUUACUUGAUCAAUGAACCAAGUUACCCUGGGGAUAACAGCGCAAUCCAUUUCAAGAGCCCCUAUCGACAAAUGGGUUUACGACCUCGAUGUUGGAUC